UCCUCCCCUCUCCUCCCCCGCUUUCCGAAAAGCUGAGACGAUUUUAAAAACCCAGUCUCUCUCUCUCUCUCUCUCUCUCUCACACACACACACACACACACACACGCACAAGCAUACACGAUCCUGGAAAAAAAAGGGAGGGAAAAGUCGAGAGGGGCCCGCUCCCCGGCGCUCCCCGCGCCCGGUCCCGGAAGUUGGCCAAGUUGGCAGUGCCUUACCCGGGAGGGCGGCGGCGUUGGGGUCCCCAGGGGCGCCCGGGCGGCCGAGGUGCAGACCCCCGAGGAGCAGGACGCAGCCCAGCAGCAUUUGCGUGACUCUUGUGUCAGCAUCCUUGGCGCAAAGUUGGGGCUGUUGCUAGUUGGUGCUGUAUCCAGAAUCCUGGGGAAAAUCUGUCCAUUGGACAUCCCAGAAGACAGACAUCAUCACUCUCACCAGCAACCGGACUCCUGGCCAGACGCAAAGGAGCAAAUGGAAAUUUCAUAAACGAGAAGACAAUCCACAGUUAUUCCGUAUUAUGCAACAGGUCACCGCAGCGCAGAUCGCUGGAUUGGGAGUUAGGACGUUGGAGUCCAGCCCCCACCUCUUGAUUCCUUGAACGACCUUGGAAAAGUCGCUUGGGAUCUCUGGGCUCAGAGAUGAACUGAGACAUUUAGAGACCCUAAAUGCAAAGAAGAUUCAUACUCUCCCACCAUGAGUAAUCAAAUAAAAACGCUAUGAAGCUGUAAAAUAAA